rnacentral:rRNA from 1 species
ACGGGAGGCAGCAGUGGGGAAUCUUCCGCAAUGGGCGCAAGCCUGACGGAGCAACGCCGCGUGAGUGAAGAAGGUCUUCGGAUCGUAAAGCUCUGUUGAGAGGGACGAGAGAUAAUGUCAGGAAAUGGGCAUUAGAGGACGGUACCUUUCGAGGAAGCCACGGCUAACUACGUGCCAGCAGCCGCGGUAAUACGUAGGUGGCGAGCGUUGUCCGGAAUUAUUGGGCGUAAAGGGAGCGCAGGUGGGAUUGCAAGUCAGUCUUAAAAGUGCGGGGCUCAACCCCGUGAUGGGAUUGAAACUGCAGUUCUUGAGUGCAGGAGAGGAAAGCGGAAUUCCUAGUGUAGCGGUGAAAUGCGUAGAUAUUAGGAGGAACACCAGUGGCGAAGGCGGCUUUCUGGACUGUAACUGACACUGAGGCUCGAAAGCGUGGGGAGCGAACAGGAUUAGAUACCCUGGUA